rnacentral:misc_RNA from 1 species
AAGCCAGUGUGUAACAAAGUUGAUAUCCAUUCAUACCCCACAUUCAAACUCUUCUACAAUGGAGAAGAAGUCGCAAAGUACCAAGGACCGAGAGAUAUUGAAUCGCUGAAAGUUUUUGCACUAGAAGAAGCAGAGAAAGCAGCAACAAAAGCUGAAGCAGUUGACGAUAAAGAGUUAUAACUUACUGUCAGGGGAGUGAGUGCUUUUUCUAAGCCAAAUACUGAG